rnacentral:rRNA from 1 species
UGCGUAGGCGGGUCUUUAAGUCAGGGGUGAAAUCCUGGAGCUCAACUCCAGAACUGCCUUUGAUACUGAAGAUCCUGAGUUCGGGAGAGGUGAGUGGAACUGCGAGUGUAGAGGUGAAAUUCGUAGAUAUUCGCAAGAACACCAGUGGCGAAGGCGGCUCACUGGCCCGAUACUGACGCUGAGGCACGAAAGCGUGGGGAGCAAACA